GGGGAAUAUUGGACAAUGGGGGGAACCCUGAUCCAGCAAUGCCGCGUGUGUGAAGAAGGCCUGAGGGUUGUAAAGCACUUUCAGUAGGGAGGAGGACUGAUAGGUUAAGAGCUAAUUAGUUGGACGUUACCUACAGAAGAAGCACCGGCUAACUCCGUGCCAGCAGCCGCGGUAAUACGGAGGGUGCGAGCGUUAAUCGGAAUUACUGGGCGUAAAGGGUGCGUAGGUGGUAGAUUAAGUUAUCUGUGAAAUCCCUGGGCUUAACCUGGGCAGGUCAGAUAAUACUGGUUUACUCGAGUAUGGGAGAGGGUAGUGGAAUUUCCGGUGUAGCGGUGAAAUGCGUAGAGAUCGGAAGGAACACCAGUGGCGAAGGCGGCUACCUGGCCCAAUACUGACACUGAGGCACGAAAGCGUGGGGAGCAAAC
rnacentral:rRNA from 1 species